rnacentral:rRNA from 1 species
AUGCCAAAGAAGAUACUUAAGGAGAUAGACAAGUCUAGGCGGCGCUUCCUCUGGCGACAAGACGAAGAGGUUUCGGGUGCUAGCUGCAAAGUCAAUUGGCCGACGCUUUGGAUCGCCUGGCAGCAUCCAGAGUGCCCAUGGGUGGGCACGGAUUUACCUUGUGACGACGCGGACAAGGCGCUCUUCACGGCCUCCACUAGCGUGGCGGUAGGUGACGGGGCUCAAGCGUCCUUCUGGCACUCCCCAUGGAUUGGACAUGGCAGCCUUUUGCAGCAAUACCCAACCCUCUUCAAUCACUCACAGUGCAAGAACAGAUCGGUGAGGGAGGGGGCGGAGGAGCGACUGCAGCCAGGAGUGCCGGACGCCCUAACUUGGACCAGAGUGAGCUCAGGAAAGUACACGGCAAGAUCGGCCUACCAGCUGCAGUUCCAGGGAAGAACGGUGUCCCAGUUUGACUGCCUGGUCUGGAAGGCCUGGGCGCCCGGAAAAAUCAAGAUCUUUGCCCGGCUGCUCCUUCAAGACCGGCUAUGGAGUCUGGAAGGGUUUGACCGAGCUGGGGCAAUGGCAUGGCUGCUCCGCGCUUUCACCAGCCAAGGGCUGGCGCUAUGGCAGCUCCUCCACGAUCGCUCAACACAUCCUCGAGCAGACUCCCAACCGAUGGCGAAAGGGGGUACAGUCAAUGUGGUUGCUGGCUUGUUGGGAAAUCUGGCAGGAGAGAAAUCACUGCACUUUCAGGCAGCAUCUACCGUGCCUGGCAAGCGUCAUCAAGCGCAUAAGAGACAACAUCGAGCUAUGGAGAUCCACAGGAGCUGUUUGCAUCGAGCGCCCCUUAAGGGACCCCCCUUGAGAAGCUAA